rnacentral:lncRNA from 1 species
AUUUUUGUUUAUUCUGUUAAGCCCAAACAUUUAGACUCUACCUUUUCACCCUUUCAGCUCUCAGAGUCAUAAGGACACUAGAAGGCCACAAUGACUUCAAGAAGGAACCUUCAGGGGUGUCCAUCCACACCCUGGCCCAUGCACCCAGCUGAGUUCAGUACUGAGCAGCCAGUUCUUGGUGAGCUGUGCCCAAGAUCUUCCACUUUCUGGUUGUGUGGCAUUGCUCCCGACUCAGCAACAGGAUAUGAGAAGUGUCUUCUCUCUCUGCUGUUUACAAGGAAGAGUGGCUCUUCUGUGACACGUUGCAGCUUACCUCUUAUAUAGGCACCGUGGACCUUGAUUUGUUCUGUUGAGCCGAAAUACUGCAGGAUCCUCC